ACUCAAAAUCUCAAGAUGAUCUCCAAUGUUAACUAGAAUGGAGUUAGGGAUGCCAUUUAUGUUGACCCACUUCCCUUUAUGUUGCACUUGAAGGCCACUAAUUCCAUUAUGUAUUAGAAAGGUUAAGAGUCCAUGAUCUGAAUGAGAGGGCAUGCCCAUUGCAAGUUCUGGCUGUGGACAAGGUGGAUAGAAGUUUGCUGCAAUCACUUGUAGACCUUGUUCCAAGUUCAAUGCCUUCUCUAUAUAAUUGGGAUCCAAUCCCAGGCUCUCUGAUAUUCCUUUUAGCAGCUCUCUUGCUACUUCUCUAGCUCUUUUGGAGUACUCUAAUGAAGUCUCACUGCAUUAAUAAAGUCAAAUAAAAAAAAAUAAUUUAGGCCUUUCACUUACUGGUAUUGUAAUUUAACUUCUCAAUUCCCAUCUUAACUAGAAUAUUUUAACCAGAAGAAAACAGAAAGAAGCUAUCUAGAAUAGAAUCCAUAAAGAGCAUAAAUCCAAUAAGAAAAAGACAAUAGUAUUCCUGUUUGUUUGGUAUAAUGUAACAUUCACAAACCAGUCCUGUUAUUAUCAACAGUUAUUAUUCCUGAUAUGCUAAUAUUUCCUAACAAAUGCUAAUUCAUUUAAUGACCUUAAUUUUAGCUAUAGUCAUUAAACUUCAACUAUAUUAACAGAAUCACCUGACUUAUUAAAAUUAAUAUUUUUACUGUGAAGUCUCAAGUUGAAGUCCCGCCCGAGUUAAACAAUGACAAAAGAAUUUGGUUAAAUUUUACAAAAUUUAAUAUGCAAUAUGUAAUUCAAUUCCUGAAACAGCAAUCAAUUUUACCAGGAAUGUUACUCUACUUGUCUAAAUAUGCAUUUUCUCACAACCAAGAUUCAUUCUUAUCUUCUUCCCUAUUACAGCAGACUAUAUAUGGCCCUGAGUUAAAGGCUUCUAAUUACCUGAAGCCUGCAGGUUUACUGGGAGAGUGAAACACAGGAUGUGAAAGAAUCUUGAGAAAAUCCUUCCAAAAGAAAACCUUCUCCACUGAAGCAUUAAAGCUAGUUCCACACCUUAUUGGGUCCAACACAUGCUUCCCUCUGUACUCUUCCUUCUCCUCUUCAGGGAGAUCAAAGAAUCCUCUACAACCAUCAAUCAUCGAUCUAACCAGGCUUUCUGGGACUCCAUGGUUGAUCAU
rnacentral:misc_RNA from 1 species